rnacentral:rRNA from 1 species
AGUAAUGCCUAGGGAUCUGCCCAGUCGAGGGGGAUAACAGUUGGAAACGACUGCUAAUACCGCAUACGCCCUACGGGGGAAAGGAGGGGACCUUCGGGCCUUCCGCGAUUGGAUGAACCUAGGUGGGAUUAGCUAGUUGGUGAGGUAAUGGCUCACCAAGGCGACGAUCCCUAGCUGUUCUGAGAGGAUGAUCAGCCACACUGGGACUGAGACACGGCCCAGACUCCUACGGGAGGCAGCAGUGGGGAAUAUUGCACAAUGGGGGAAACCCUGAUGCAGCCAUGCCGCGUGUGUGAAGAAGGCCUUCGGGUUGUAAAGCACUUUCAGUAGGGAGGAAAGGUUGCAGUUUAAUAAACUGUAGCUGUGACGUUACCUACAGAAGAAGGACCGGCUAACUCCGUGCCAGCAGCCGCGGUAAUACGGGAGGGU